ensembl:lncRNA
CAUUUCGGGAAAAGCUUGUGACCUUGGCUGGACCCUUCGCCUGCUGGUCUUCGGGCAUCAGGAAACUCCUCACACCGUACCAUCUAUGGAGAAGACUCUGGCCAAAGCCUGAAGGGAAGGAGCUGACCGACCUGUGAUUCUGUGUCAAGCAUGACACAGAGGUUUUCUCAUUUAAUUGGCACAACUGCCUUUUGAGGUGGAUGUUGUUCCUAUUUUACCCCAGAGGAAAUGGAGGUCCAGAGAGUUAGCAGCCCUUCUCUGGGAAGGCCCAGGAGUCUGUGCAGAAGGAGAUAAGAUGUUGCAGCUUCCAGCGGACCUGUAGUAGCCAGAGCAACGUCAAGCACACCACAUCCGGUGGUGUGGUGGUGGGAGUGUUGGAAAAUAAAAUAUGUGUGGGGCAGGCUGAGACUCAGGCGGAACCCAACACCAGACACUCUUGGUGGUGACUUUGGGUCCAACUGUGGUUCCAUGAAGAUGGCUGGCUUCCCACUGAGUGACUUAAAGAUGAAAACAGCUGACUCUGUGCUGCCAGCGCUGUGUGCUCUCUCCUUGAGCUGCCCCUGUACCAUGAAGGGGUGUUUUCAGCAGGAAAUCAGGGUAAGGGAGGACGUUAGAAGGUGUCAGGUCCAGGGACUUCCCUGGGGGUCCAGUGACUGAGACUCCGCGCUCCCAAUGCGGGGUGCCCGGGUUUUAUCCCUGGUUGGGGCGCUAGGUCCCACAUACCGCAGGCUCCCCAGGUGGUGCUAGUGGUAAAGAACCUGUCUCUGGGGUCGCACAGAGUUGGACACGACUGAAGCGACUUAGUAGUAGUAGUAUGGACACCUUAGAUUUGGGAGAGAGUGUUUCAGAUUCCUCUAUCAAAUGAUUUUUCUGCCUGAGGUUUGCCUCCUCACUUAAGACCCAUAGAGAUGCCUAAGCUUUCUUAUGUGGAGGGACUCAGUCAGAAGUGAUACCAUUGAUAAGGGCCAUGGCUGGAGGUGACACACCCCAUGACUCUGGCUCCAUGGCUCCGCCUGUCUGUCCUGAGGUCUGCUGCUGCUGCUGCUAAGUCACUUCAGUCGUGUCCGAUUCUGUGUGACCCCAUAGACAGCAGCCCACCAGGCUCCCCCGUCCCUGGGGUUCUGAACACUGGAGUGGGUUGCCAUUUCCGUCUCCAAUGCGUGAAAGUGAAAAGUGAAAGUGAAGUCGCUCAGUCGUGUCGGACUCUUAGCGACCCCAUGGACUGUAGCCUACCAGGCUCCUCCGUCCAUGGAUUUUCCAGGGAAGAGUACUGGAGUGGGGUGCCAUUGCCUUCUCCGCCUGAGGUCUGAGGGCAUCGCUAAUCCGCACUGUGACCCAGGCUUUCAGCACACUGGCUGGGGAACUGGCUAAAGUGCCAGCAGGAAUGCUGCAAGUACGACCGUAGCCUUAGGGUAAAUGGCCUUUGAUAUAAGUUCCACAGUAAACAGAAGUUAAAGGAUAUGUCUUUGUCAUCUCUCUCUCAUUC